rnacentral:misc_RNA from 1 species
GAUGAAGAACGCAGCGAAUGCGCGAAACGUAAUGUGAAUUGCAGAAUUCAGUGAAUCAUCGAAUCUUUGAACGCAUCUUGCGCUCCUUGGUAUUCCGAGGAGCAUGCCUGUUGGAGUGUCAUGAAUACUCUCAAUGAAUAAUCUACUUUCAUUGGACUUGGAUGUUGCUGUUGUGGCUCAUCUGAAUUGUAUUGACUGGGUUCACCCGUUACUGGUGUAAUAACUUAUUCACUAGGUUAAGGUGGACCCUUUUACUAUGUUAUAUUGUUAGACCUCCAAUCAGGUAGGACUACCCGCUGAACUUAAGCAUAUCAAUAAGCGGAGGA